AUUGAACGCUGGCGGCAGGCCUAACACAUGCAAGUCGAACGAGUGGCGGACGGGUGAGUAAUGUCUGGGAAACUGCCUGAUGGAGGGGGAUAAGUACUGGAAACGGUAGAUAAUACCGCAUACCAUCGGAUGUGCCCAGAUGGGAUUAGCUAGUAGGUGGGGUAAAGGCUCACCUAGGCGACGAUGCCGAGCAGGUCUGAGAGGAUGACCAGCCACACUGGAACUGAGACACGGUCCAGACUCCUACGGGAGGCAGCAGUGGGGAAUAUUGCGCAAUGGACGCAAGCCUGACGCAGCCAUGCCGCGUGUAUGAAGAAGGCCUUCGGGUUGUAAAGUACUUUCGGCGGAGAGGCGUUACCCGCAGAGGAAGCACCGGCUAACUCCGUGCCAGCAGCCGCGGUAAUUC
rnacentral:rRNA from 1 species